ACUAAGAUGGCCGAAGUAAUAAGCAGUAAAUUGUAAAUUUACUUAUGAAUUUAAAUUCUCUUAGUA
rnacentral:tRNA from 1 species